AAAUCGGCUGUCUGUUUUCUUUGCUUUUUUAUAGACUGGAUUUAUAUAUUUAUAACUAAAAUUAGGUUAAAUUUUUUUUUUACAGAGUUAAAUAUUUAGAUUGAUGAAAGAUGUAUAAUAGUGACAGGGAUUAAAUACCCCAUUAAUGUACAUUGUAGCUUUGUCUUAGUUAAUAUAACUAAAAUAAUUUGGCAGUGAGCGACUCUUUUUAGGGGAAGGUGUGGUGUAAAGGAUGUUCCGCCUAAUAAUUUACUUUCGUUAUGUUGGUGUAUAUCUGGUUUAAUAUUAUCGUUGAGUAAGUGAGUUUGUGUAAUUUUAUUUAAGCCAAGUCUAUGUGCUGCUUAUGAAAGUAUUCAUGCGUUACAUUUAUAAGGUUUUGGUUGUAAUACUAAAAUAUUUAGGACUUAAAAGUAAUGUUCAAUAAGUUUGUGAGUGUGAAGUAAGUUUAGCUCUGUUACCACACCGGGAA
rnacentral:rRNA from 1 species